rnacentral:lncRNA from 1 species
CUGCCUGGACAAGAACUACAAACUGCACUGAGAACUUCUCAUCAUGUGUUAUGUUAUCAGAUCUGUCUGCUGUCCAGUCAUUUUUAGCCCUGUGGAAAAGCGCUGCUGAUCUCACAGUUACAGCAGACCAGCAAGAUACUGUAGAAGACUGCCACUUUCAUAUGGAAACAAACACAAGCAAGGAGAGUAAAUGCUUGUCAUGCUAUAGCAAAAAAGUGUUUCUCAGCCUACCUUCCAGAAAGACAUUAGGAACAGAGGGACUUCUGGCAAAAUUAUGUGAACCUUGGAAAAACAAGGCUGAAGAAAACACAAAGCAGGACACGGCAAAAGGGUAUAUUAAAACACACAGUGCAGUUGUGAGAUAAGGGAGAUACUGUGUUUGAAAAGAAGAACUGUGACCAGUAAAGAACAAGAAGAACAAGAUGUAACAUCUUUAUCACUGGGGUAAGUUGUUUUUCUCCUGUCCUUUCACUGGAAGACUUCCAGUUGGAAGGAAGGGAGGAAGGGAGGAAGG